rnacentral:rRNA from 1 species
ACGGAGGAUGCAAGCGUUAUCCGGAUUUAUUGGGUUUAAAGGGUGCGUAGGCGGAUUAAUAAGUCAGUGGUGAAAUCUUUCGGCUCAACCGAGAAACUGCCAUUGAUACUGUUAAUCUUGAGUUCGGUUGAGGUAGGCGGAAUGUGUAAUGUAGCGGUGAAAUGCUUAGAUAUUACACAGAACACCAAUUGCGUAGGCAGCUUACUAGACCGAUACUGACGCUGAGGCACGAAAGCGUGGGUAGCGAACAGG